rnacentral:rRNA from 1 species
UACGGGGGGAGCAAGCGUUGUUCGGAUUUACUGGGCGUAAAGGGCGCGUAGGCGGCCAGCACAAGUCGGUUGUGAAAUCUCCGAGCUUAACUCGGAACGGUCAACUGAUACUGUGCGGCUAGAGUGCAGAAGGGGCAACUGGAAUUCUUGGUGUAGCGGUGAAAUGCGUAGAUAUCAAGAGGAACACCUGCGGCGAAGGCGGGUUGCUGGGCUGACACUGACGCUGAGGCGCGAAAGCUAGGGGAGCGAACGGG